rnacentral:rRNA from 1 species
GAAUAUUGCGCAAUGGACGAAAGUCUGACGCAGCGACGCCGUGUGUGGGAGGAAGCUCUUCGGGGUGUAAACCACUGUCAGGUGGGAAGAACGGCGUCAGGUCGAACAGGCCUGGCGAUUGACGGUACCUCCAAAGGAAGCGCCGGCGAACUCCGUGCGAGCAGCCGCGGUAAGACGGAGGGCGCAAGCGUUGUUCGGAAUUACUGGGCGUAAAGCGCGGGCAGGUGGUCUGUUAAGUCGUUUGUGAAAAUCCGGGGCUCAACCCCGCGAAAUGCAGACGAUACUGGCAGGCUGGAGAUCGGUAGAGGCUAGCGGAAUUCCUGGUGUAGCGGUGGAAUGCGUAGAUAUCAGGAAGAACACCUGUGGCGAAGGCGGCUAGCUGGGCCGAGUCUGACACUCAUCCGCGAAAGCGUGGGGAGCAAACAGG